rnacentral:rRNA from 1 species
AGAGUUUGAUCCUGGCUCAGGACGAACGCUGGCGGCGUGCCUAAUACAUGCAAGUAGAACGCUGAGGACUGGUGCUUGCACCGGUUCAAGGAGUUGCGAACGGGUGAGUAACGCGUAGGUAACCUACCUCAUAGCGGGGGAUAACUAUUGGAAACGAUAGCUAAUACCGCAUGACAAUGGAGGACCCAUGUCUUUCACUUAAAAGGUGCAACUGCAUCACUAUGAGAUGGACCUGCGUUGUAUUAGCUAGUUGGUGAGGUAACGGCUCACCAAGGCGACGAUACAUAGCCGACCUGAGAGGGUGAACGGCCACACUGGGACUGAGACACGGCCCAGACUCCUACGGGAGGCAGCAGUAGGGAAUCUUCGGCAAUGGACGGAAGUCUGACCGAGCAACGCCGCGUGAGUGAAGAAGGUUUUCGGAUCGUAAAGCUCUGUUGUUAGAGAAGAAUGAUGGUGGGAGUGGAAAAUCCACCAUGUGACGGUAACUAACCAGAAAGGGACGGCUAACUACGUGCCAGCAGCCGCGGUAAUACGUAGGUCCCGAGCGUUGUCCGGAUUUAUUGGGCGUAAAGCGAGCGCAGGCGGUUCUUUAAGUCUGAAGUUAAAGGCAGUGGCUCAACCACUGUACGCUUUGGAAACUGGAGAACUUGAGUGCAGAAGGGGAGAGUGGAAUUCCAUGUGUAGCGGUGAAAUGCGUAGAUAUAUGGAGGAACACCGGUGGCGAAAGCGGCUCUCUGGUCUGUAACUGACGCUGAGGCUCGAAAGCGUGGGGAGCAAACAGGAUUAGAUACCCUGGUAGUCC